rnacentral:rRNA from 1 species
CGAAUGAGGAGAUUCAUCGUCAGCUUAUUCAGUAUUAAUGCAGGCUAUGAUGUGAUAAUAGAACCCUUGUGGUCACUAGAUUAUACUUGCUUGUAUUAUUUUUGCUGGGUAUGUCGGCGUGCACUUCUCCUCUAGUAGAACGUCGCAACCCGUUGGAUGUUUAUCUAUGGCUUGAAUGGUAGCCUUUGAUAUUUUUUAUAUUGAAGACCUUCGAUGUCCUGAUAAACUGUUUGACGGUAUACAUAUGGUAUUGAGCCGCAAUUAUUUGCGUUAGACUUGCCGCAAGUAUGACUUUAUUCUAGUAGUGCGGAUCUAAUGCCGUCGCUGGACAAA